GACGAACGCUGGCGGCGUGCCUAAUACAUGCAAGUAGAACGCUGAAGGAGGAGCUUGCUUCUCUGGAUGAGUUGCGAACGGGUGAGUAACGCGUAGGUAACCUGCCUGGUAGCGGGGGAUAACUAUUGGAAACGAUAGCUAAUACCGCAUAAUAGUAGAUGUUGCAUGACAUUUGCUUAAAAGGUGCAAUUGCAUCACUACCAGAUGGACCUGCGUUGUAUUAGCUAGUUGGUGAGGUAACGGCUCACCAAGGCAACGAUACAUAGCCGACCUGAGAGGGUGAUCGGCCACACUGGGACUGAGACACAGCCCAGACUCCUACGGGAGGCAGCAGUAGGGAAUCUUCGGCAAUGGGGGGAACCCUGACCGAGCAACGCCGCGUGAGUGAAGAAGGUUUUCGGAUCGUAAAGCUCUGUUGUAAGAGAAGAACGAGUGUGAGAGUGGAAAGUUCACA
rnacentral:rRNA from 1 species